AGCUAGUUGGUGGGGUAAAAGCUCACCAAGGCGACGAUCUGUAGCGGGUCUGAGAGGAUGAUCCGCCACACUGGAACUGAGACACGGUCCAGACUCCUACGGGAGGCAGCAGUGGGGAAUUUUGGACAAUGGGGGCAACCCUGAUCCAGCCAUGCCGCGUGAGUGAAGAAGGCCUUCGGGUUGUAAAGCUCUUUCAGCCGGGAAGAAAACGCAUGGGUCAAUACCCUGUGUGGAUGACGGUACCGGAAUAAGAAGCACCGGCUAACUACGUGCCAGCAGCCGCGGUAAUACGUAGGGUGCGAGCGUUAAUCGGAAUUACUGGGCGUAAAGCGUGCGCAGGCGGUUUUGUAAGACAGGCGUGAAAUCCCCGGGCUUAACCUGGGAACUGCGUUUGUGACUGCAAGGCUAGAGUACGGCAGAGGGGGGUGGAAUUCCACGUGUAGCAGUGAAAUGCGUAGAGAUGUGGAGGAACACCAACGGCGAAGGCAGCCCCCUGGGUCGAUACUCACGCUCAUGCACGAAAGCGUGGGUAGCAAACAGGAUUAGAUACCCUGGUAGUCCACGCCCUAAACGAUGUCAACUAGGUGUUGGGUGGGUAAAACCAUUUAGUACCGGAGCUAACGCGUGAAGUUGACCGCCUGGGGAGUACGGCCGCAAGGUUAAAACUCAAAGGAAUUGACGGGGACCCGCACAAGCGGUGGAUGAUGUGGAUUAAUUCGAUGCAACGCGAAAAACCUUACCUACCCUUGACAUGUCAGGAACUUGCCAGAGAUGGCUUGGUGCUCGAAAGAGAACCUGAACACAGGUGCUGCAUGGCUGUCGUCAGCUCGUGUCGUGAGAUGUUGGGUUAAGUCCCGCAACGAGCGCAACCCUUGUCGUUAAUUGCCAUCAUUUAGUUGGGCACUUUAACGAGACUGCCGGUGACAAACCGGAGGAAGGUGGGGAUGACGUCAAGUCCUCAUGGCCCUUAUGGGUAGGGCUUCACACGUCAUACAAUGGUCGAUACAAAGGGUCGCCAACCCGCGAGGGGGAGCUAAUCCCAUAAAGCCGAUCGUAGUCCGGAUUGCAGGCUGCAACUCGCCUGCAUGAAGUCGGAAUCGCUAGUAAUCGUGGAUCAGCAUGUCACGGUGAAUACGUUCCCGGGUCUUGUACACACCGCCCGUCACACCAUGGGAGCGGGUUCCGCCAGAAGUAGGUAGCCUAACCGCAAGGGGGGCGCUUACCACGGCGGGGUUCGUGACUGGGGUGAAGUCGUAACAAGGUAGCCGUAGGGGAACCUGCGGCUG
rnacentral:rRNA from 1 species